rnacentral:rRNA from 1 species
AUGGUGGUGUGGAGGGAUAGCUAUCUGGACCUGAUCCUGGUCCCGCUGGGGCUGCUGCUGCCGGCGCUGUACCACGCCUGGCUGUGGCGGGCCGUGCGGCGCCGCCCGCUCUCCACGGCCUUCGGCGUCUACUCGGCCGCGCGCAGGCUCUGGGCGGCCGGCAUGAUGCGGGACAACGACGACAAGAAGGGGGUGCUGGUGGUGCAGUCGAUCCGGAACGUCAUCAUGGGGUCCACGCUCAUGGCCACCACGUCGGUGCUCUUCUGCACCGGCAUCGCCGCCGUGCUCAGCAGCACCUACUCCGUGAAGAAGCCGCUGAGCGACGCCGUGUUCGGCGCGCACGGGGAGUACAUGAUGGCGCUCAACUUCCUCAUCAACACCUCCUGCCUCCCGCUCCCCGACGCCGGUAAGGACGACGACGGCGCCCGCCUGGUCGGCGUGCAGCUUCCGGCCGGCGCCGUGAGCUACUACGUGGGCGAGAUCCUCGAGAGGAGCUUCACGCUCAACUUCGUCGGCAACAGGCUGUUCUACGCCGGGGUGCCCCUCCUGCUCUGGAUCUUCGGCCCGCUGCUCGCCUUCCUCUCCUCCCUCGUCAUGAUCCCGAUACUCUACAACCUCGACAUGGUGAACGUCGCCGCCGACAGAGGAGCGAAGGAGCACAGCAGCGGCUGCAUCAACGGCAAGGCGAACGGGAACGGCUUCAUGCAAGUCUGA